UAAAUCGGUGAUAUGUAUACAUAUGUCAAAGUAGCGUUGUUUCUGUGGGUUUUACGAAAAACGUUUCUGAUGUGAUUUCGAUCUUAGGUGAAAGUUGCUUGGAGUUACUCAUGGAGUGUUACCGAAGAUUAUUUCAUUACGAUCUAGUCGCAGAACGUUUUUCAUAGCACAUUCUCAUGGUACAUUCGUUUCUGGAACGAAUUGG
rnacentral:lncRNA from 1 species